rnacentral:sRNA from 1 species
AUGCACACAUAGACUUAACCAUGAACAUGAAAACAUGUUUCAUUUCACAAAAGCCAUGAUUCACGAUCGAUACAUAGUUGACACGAGUAGGUGACACUCAUCAAAGAUGGACUAUGUGUAGUGACUAAUAGAGAAGCUUUAUGAAACAUUCACUUUCACAGCCACAGGAAAACAAAGAAAAAACAACUGCAACUAGCAGGGGAUUUUGUUUCAAACAAAUGCAAGUUGUCAAAUUAGACAAGACAACUCUUUUACAUCUUUAUUGUCUCCACAACUCUAAAAUUCAAACACCCAAUUAAACUAUAAUCGUAAAUGGGAGAAGAAACAGAGGGUGAACGGGUAUUUUCCCAAAAUUCAAACACCCAAUUAAACUAUAAUCGUAAAUUCAAAACCCAAUUCAAACACCCAAUUAAACUAUAAUCGUACAAUCAACAGAACUCGGGAACUCGAACGAGUCACGACUCGUUAUCACUCUAAUAAGCUAUGUUAAACAAAGUUUAGGUUUUAAACCUUCUUCUUCAUCUUCUUCGAGUAGGGUUUCAAUCCAAGUAGUUGGAGCUGUACGGAUCCGAGAUAAACCAAUUCGACUCUGAUAGGUUGAAGAUACCCUUAGCUUUCAUGAAGAAGAAGAUGAGAACCAGUGGAAGGAGGGCUCGUAAAUGGGAGAAGAAACAGAGGGUGAAAAGUGAGAACUCACCUCUUAUGCCACUAUUGUAGAAGAAAUAAUCAGUCGUGCCAUUCUUAUGUUUGAAAUUUUAUUAUUGAUAUUUUUUUAAAUCGAAAAAAUGAGUAAAGGACGAAACAUUCAUGGCAAUCCACGAAAACUACAAGAAAACUUAAUUUGUUGGGCUCGGGCUCAAUAAAAAAUGUAAAUAUUCGGCCCAGUUGUAUUAUUUACCUUAGAAACUACAGAAAAACCUAAGUAAGAAAACUUCUUCCCUUUUUCAACUUCUCGACUUCUUCUCUCUUCUCUCCGUCGUUUUCUCUCUCUCCCUUCUCUCGUCUCCGACGACACCAAUUUCGCCGGAAAACUCAAUUUCUUCUCUUCUUCUUUCUUCUCCGUUUUCGGUUCGUCUUUGUCUCUUUCAUCUCCGCAAAUUUAUUUUCCAAUGGCUAGAGUAAAAGACUCUUCUGGGAAUAUGAAUCAACUAGGGUUGAAGCGACCAAAGCCGGCGAAAUUCCUCCAUCAGUCGAAGAGGCCGCCGCCGAGAUUCCCCAAAGAGAUGAAGAAGGCGCAAAGCUUCUUACAACAGAAGAGGAAGCCGGAGAAAUUCAGCCUACAACCAGCGAUUGUGACGCCGCCGAUUUGGGUCAUUCAAACGCCGUCGGAGGGGAUUCAAUUGACGAUUUUUCAGACCCAAAUGCCGAUUCUUGUGAAGAAGAAAAAGAGACAACGAAUGCAGUUGUUCAACAUGAUGAUGCAGCAAAUAAGGUAUGAGAGAAGACCGUUAUUUUUUGGAUUAGGCUCGUUUUAGGAUAUUAUGCAUUGGUAAAUGAUUGGAUUUGUGAAUGGUGCUUCAGAUAAAACAAGUAGUACAACUAGGUCGUAAAUUUGUGAAUGGUCAUUCAGGAACAAGUAGUACAACUAGGUAGUUAAUGUGGAAUUGAAAGUAUUUUGAAUUGAAUAUGCAGGAUGAUGGUGAUGAUGAUAACCUGUCG